rnacentral:rRNA from 1 species
AAUGAACGUUGGCGGCGUGGAUUAGGCAUGCAAGUCGAGCGAGAAGAUUUAAAAAGAUACUUCGGUUGAUUUUUAAAUUGGACAGCGGCGAAAGGGAGAGUAACGAGUAGAUACGUGCCCGAGGGUCCGGGAUAGCUGCGGGAAACUGCAGGUAAUACCGGAUAAUGUUUCCGAACCAAAGAUUUAUUGCCCUCGGAUCGGUCUGCUUACUAUUAGCUAGUUGGUGGGGUAAUGGCCUACCAAGGCUCAGAUGGUUAGCGGGUGUGAGAGCAUGGCCCGUCUCACUGGGACUGAGACACUGCCCAGACACCUACGGGUGGCUGCAGUCGAGAAUCUUCCGCAAUGGACGAAAGUCUGACGGAGCGACGCCGCGUGAUGGACGAAGGCCCUCGGGUUGUAAACAUCUGUCGUAGGGGAGGAAAUUUUGACCGAUCCUAGGAGGAAGCACAGGCUAAGUUCG